GGGUCAAUGAUGAAACCUUAUAUUGUCUGAAAAGAGGUGAUGACUUAGAUGACAUAAUAGAGGAUUACGCUGAGGCCC